CCUACGGGUGGCUGCAGUGGGGGAUAUUGCACAAUGGGGGAAAGCCUGACGCAGCAACGCCGCGUGAGUGACGAAGGUCUUCGGAUCGUAAAACUCUGUCCUCGGUGAAGAUCAUGCAGGUAGCCAAGGAGAAGGGUCCGGCUAAUCACGGGACAGCAGCCGCGGGAAUACGUAGGGAGCGAGGGUUCUCCGGAAUUACUGGGUGUAAAGGGUGCGUAGGCGGCCUUGCAAGUCACGCGUGAAAACCCUGGGCUCAACCCGUGGACUGCGUUUGAAACUGGGAGACUUGAGUGAAUGAGAGGUAGGCGGAAUUCCCGGUGUAGGAGUGAAAUGCGUAGAGAUCUGGAGGAACAUCAGUGGCGAAGGCGGCCUACUGG
rnacentral:rRNA from 1 species